rnacentral:tRNA from 1 species
UGGAACGGGGGGGAAUCCAACCCCCAUUAAUAGAUUUACAGUCUACCGCCUAACACUCGGCCGCCAAACC